rnacentral:rRNA from 1 species
UACAGAGGUCCCAAGCGUUGUUCGGAUUCACUGGGCGUAAAGGGUGCGUAGGCGGUCAGGUAAGUCUGAUGUGAAAUCUCUGGGCUUAACCCAGAAAUGGCAUUGGAUACUAUUUGGCUUGAGAGUUGGAGGGGGGACUGGAAUUCUUGGUGUAGCAGUGAAAUGCGUAGAUAUCAGGAGGAACACCGAUGGCGAAGGCAGGUCUCUGGGCAUUAACUGACGCUGAGGAGCGAAAGCAUGGGGAGCGAACAGG